CCCUUAGAUGUUCUGGGCCGCACGCGCGCUACACUGACGAUGUCAGAGAGUGUCUCCUUCACCGAGAGGUGUGGGUAAUCUUUUAAACAUCGUCGUGCUGGGGAUAGAUCAUUGCAAUUUUUGAUCUUAAACGAGGAAUUCCUAGUAAGCGCGAGUCAUCAGCUCGCGCUGAUUACGUCCCUGCCCUUUGUACACACCGCCCGUCGCUACUACCGCUUGAAUGGUUUAGUGAGGCCUUCUGACUGGCGCCGCUACUCUGGCAACAGAGCGGCGGAUGCCGGGAAGUUGGUCAAACUUGAUCAUUUAGAGGAAGUAAAAGUCGUAACA
rnacentral:rRNA from 1 species